ACGCUCGACACCUACGGGAGGCAGCAGUGAGGGAUAUUGGUCAAUGGGGGAAACCCUGAACCAGCAACGCCGCGUGAGGGGAUGACGGUCUUCGGAUUGUAAACCUCUGUCCUCUGUGAAGAUAAUGACGGUAGCAGAGGAGGAAGCUCCGGCUAACUACGUACCAGCAGCCGCGGUAAUCUGAGCGGGCUGGCAAGGC
rnacentral:rRNA from 1 species